GGGUUGUGAGGUUAAGCGACUAAGCGUACACGGUGGAUGCCCUGGCAGUCAGAGGCGAUGAAGGGCGUGCUAAUCUGCGAUAAGCGCCGGUAAGGUGAUAUGAACCGUUAUAACCGGCGAUACCCGAAUGGGGAAACCCAGUGUGAUUCGUCACACUAUCAUUAACUGAAUCCAUAGGUUAAUGAGGCGAACCGGGGGAACUGAAACAUCUAAGUACCCCGAGGAAAAGAAAUCAACCGAGAUUCCCCCAGUAGCGGCGAGCGAACGGGGAGGAGCCCAGAGCCUGAAUCAGCAUGUGUGUUAGUGGAAGCGUCUGGAAAGGCGCGCGAUACAGGGUGACAGCCCCGUACACAAAAGCGCAUGUGCUGUGAGCUCGAUGAGUAGGGCGGGACACGUGGUAUCCUGUCUGAAUAUGGGGGGACCAUCCUCCAAGGCUAAAUACUCCUGACUGACCGAUAGUGAACCAGUACCGUGAGGGAAAGGCGAAAAGAACCCCGGCGAGGGGAGUGAAAAAGAACCUGAAACCGUGUACGUACAAGCAGUGGGAGCNNNNNNNNNNNNNNNNNNNNNNNNNNNNNNNNNNNNNNNNNNNNNNNNNNNNNNNNNNGGGCGUUAAGUUGCAGGGUAUAGACCCGAAACCCGGUGAUCUAGCCAUGGGCAGGUUGAAGGUUGGGUAACACUAACUGGAGGACCGAACCGACUAAUGUUGAAAAAUUAGCGGAUGACCUGUGGCUGGGGGUGAAAGGCCAAUCAAACCGGGAGAUAGCUGGUUCUCCCCGAAAGCUAUUUAGGUAGCGCCUCGUGAAUUCAUCUCCGGGGGUAGAGCACUGUUUCGGCUAGGGGGCCAUCCCGGCUUACCAACCCGAUGCAAACUGCGAAUACCGGAGAAUGUUAUCACGGGAGACACACGGCGGGUGCUAACGUCCGUCGUGAAGAGGGAAACAACCCAGACCGCCAGCUAAGGUCCCAAAGUCAUGGUUAAGUGGGAAACGAUGUGGGAAGGCCCAGACAGCCAGGAUGUUGGCUUAGAAGCAGCCAUCAUUUAAAGAAAGCGUAAUAGCUCACUGGUCGAGUCGGCCUGCGCGGAAGAUGUAACGGGGCUAAACCAUGCACCGAAGCUGCGGCAGCGACACUGUGUGUUGUUGGGUAGGGGAGCGUUCUGUAAGCCUGUGAAGGUGUGUCGUGAGGCAUGCUGGAGGUAUCAGAAGUGCGAAUGCUGACAUAAGUAACGAUAAAGCGGGUGAAAAGCCCGCUCGCCGGAAGACCAAGGGUUCCUGUCCAACGUUAAUCGGGGCAGGGUGAGUCGACCCCUAAGGCGAGGCCGAAAGGCGUAGUCGAUGGGAAACGGGUUAAUAUUCCCGUACUUGGUGUUACUGCGAAGGGGGGACGGAGAAGGCUAUGUUGGCCGGGCGACGGUUGUCCCGGUUUAAGCGUGUAGGUGUGUGUUCCAGGUAAAUCCGGUUCACUUUAACACUGAGGCGUGACGACGAGGCACUACGGUGCUGAAGCAACAAAUGCCCUGCUUCCAGGAAAAGCCUCUAAGCAUCAGGUAACAUCAAAUCGUACCCCAAACCGACACAGGUGGUCAGGUAGAGAAUACCAAGGCGCUUGAGAGAACUCGGGUGAAGGAACUAGGCAAAAUGGUGCCGUAACUUCGGGAGAAGGCACGCUGACACGUAGGUGAAGUGAUUUACUCAUGGAGCUGAAGUCAGUCGAAGAUACCAGCUGGCUGCAACUGUUUAUUAAAAACACAGCACUGUGCAAACACGAAAGUGGACGUAUACGGUGUGACGCCUGCCCGGUGCCGGAAGGUUAAUUGAUGGGGUCAGCGCAAGCGAAGCUCCUGAUCGAAGCCCCGGUAAACGGCGGCCGUAACUAUAACGGUCCUAAGGUAGCGAAAUUCCUUGUCGGGUAAGUUCCGACCUGCACGAAUGGCGUAAUGAUGGCCAGGCUGUCUCCACCCGAGACUCAGUGAAAUUGAACUCGCUGUGAAGAUGCAGUGUACCCGCGGCAAGACGGAAAGACCCCGUGAACCUUUACUAUAGCUUGACACUGAACAUUGAGCCUUGAUGUGUAGGAUAGGUGGGAGGCUUUGAAGUGUGGACGCCAGUCUGCAUGGAGCCGACCUUGAAAUACCACCCUUUAAUGUUUGAUGUUCUAACGUGGACCCGUUACCCGGGUUGCGGACAGUGUCUGGUGGGUAGUUUGACUGGGGCGGUCUCCUCCUAAAGAGUAACGGAGGAGCACGAAGGUUGGCUAAUCCUGGUCGGACAUCAGGAGGUUAGUGCAAUGGCAUAAGCCAGCUUGACUGCGAGCGUGACGGCGCGAGCAGGUGCGAAAGCAGGUCAUAGUGAUCCGGUGGUUCUGAAUGGAAGGGCCAUCGCUCAACGGAUAAAAGGUACUCCGGGGAUAACAGGCUGAUACCGCCCAAGAGUUCAUAUCGACGGCGGUGUUUGGCACCUCGAUGUCGGCUCAUCACAUCCUGGGGCUGAAGUAGGUCCCAAGGGUAUGGCUGUUCGCCAUUUAAAGUGGUACGCGAGCUGGGUUUAGAACGUCGUGAGACAGUUCGGUCCCUAUCUGCCGUGGGCGCUGGAGAACUGAGGGGGGCUGCUCCUAGUACGAGAGGACCGGAGUGGACGCAUCACUGGUGUUCGGGUUGUCAUGCCAAUGGCACUGCCCGGUAGCUAAAUGCGGAAGAGAUAAGUGCUGAAAGCAUCUAAGCACGAAACUUGCCCCGAGAUGAGUUCUCCCUGAGACUUAGAGUCUCCUGAAGGAACGUUGAAGACGACGACGUUGAUAGGCCGGGUGUGUAAGCGCAGCGAUGCGUUGAGCUAACCGGUACUAAUGAACCGUGAGGCUUAACCUUACAACGCCGAAG
rnacentral:rRNA from 1 species